AUACUUACCUGGCAGGGGGAAUACCACGAUCAAGAAGGUGGGUUGCCCCGUGAGGAGCUCCUUCCAUUGCACACUUGUUGGGUUGACCCUGUGAUUUCCCCAAAAUGUGAAAACUCAACUGCAGAAUUUAUGGUAGUAGGGGGACUGUUCGCCACACUUCCCUC